UAAGAAGGGGGCUAGCGUUGCUCGGAAUCACUGGGCGUAAAGGGCGCGUAGACGGCGUUUUAAGUCGGGGGUGAAAGCCUGUGGCUCAACCACAGAAUGGCCUUCGAUACUGGGACGCUUGAGUAUGGUAGAGGUUGGUGGAACUGCGAGUGUAGAGGUGAAAUUCGUAGAUAUUCGCAAGAACACCGGUGGCGAAGGCGGCCAACUGGACCAUCACUGACGCUGAGGCGCGAAAGCGUGGGGAGCAAACAGG
rnacentral:rRNA from 1 species